rnacentral:misc_RNA from 1 species
GAAAUGCGAUAAGUAAUGUGAAUUGCAGAAUUCAGUGAAUCAUCGAAUCUUUGAACGCACAUUGCGCCCGCCAGUAUUCUGGCGGGCAUGCCUGUUCGAGCGUCAUUUCAACCAUCAAGCCCCCGGCUUGUGUUGGGGACCUGCGGCUGCCCGCAGGCCCUGAAAAACAGUGGCGGGCUCGCUGUCACACCGAGCGUAGUAGCAUACAUUCUCGCUCGGGCGUGCUGCGGGUUCCGGCCGUUAAACGACCUUCAUAACCCAAGGUUGACCUCGGAUCAGGUAGGAAGACCCGCUGAACUUAAGC